rnacentral:lncRNA from 1 species
UGAGUCAGCUCAGAUAACAUGCUCCUGUCUGCAAGCAUAACUGUGUCAUUAAUACUGUUAGCGAUUGGUGUUUGCCCAUGGAUGGGUCUCACGUUGGGCUGGUCAUUGGUUGGCCAUUCCCUCACUCUCUGCUCCAUCCCUGUGCCUGCAUUUCUUGUAGACAGGAUGAAUUUUGGGUUGAAAGUUUUGUGGGUGUCUUGAUGGCUCCACUGGAAUUCUUGCCUGGCUACUGGAAGUGGCCUCUCCAGGUUCCACGUCCCCAGCAAAGGGGUUUUUACCUGUUUAUUGUCAUGCUUGGCAUUCUUUAUCAUUUGCUUUUCAUCAGUAAAAUACAUAGCUCUAAAUAACUUAAGUAUUAACUUAUUACAGAGCAAAUGCUUUAACAAUUAUUAGUAUACAUUAGGAGUAAUAAUUUUUUGGUAAUUACAAUUAUGUUAUUAGGAUGUUCUUGUUCCUAACUUAUUUACCUUAUAAAUAUUAGUUCUGGCAAGAUAAGGA